CCCGAAAUCAGACGAGCUACCUUAGAACAGCCUACCACAGGGCCAACUCAUCUAUGUGGCAAAAUAGUGAGAAGAUUUUAAGGUAGAGGUGAAAAGCCUAACGAGCCUGAUGAUAGCUGG
rfam:Dipodomys ordii ctg_broad_rename0047267, whole genome shotgun sequence.